UUAUGGCUCAGGAUGAACGCUAGCUACAGGCUUAACACAUGCAAGUCGAGGGCAGCAUUGGGGUAGCAAUACUCAGAUGGCGACCGGCGCACGGGUGAGUAACACGUAUCCAACCUGCCGCUUACUCGGGGAUAGCCUUUCGAAAGAAAGAUUAAUACCCGAUGGUAUAAAGAGUUCGCAUGUUCUCUUUAUUAAAGAAUUUCGGUAAGCGAUGGGGAUGCGUUCCAUUAGAUAGUUGGCGGGGUAACGGCCCACCAAGUCUACGAUGGAUAGGGGUUCUGAGAGGAAGGUCCCCCACAUUGGAACUGAGACGCGGUCCAAACUCCUACGGGAGGCAGCAGUGAGGAAUAUUGGUCAAUGGACGAGAGUCUGAACCAGCCAAAGUAGCGUGAAGGAUGACUGCCCUAUGGGUUGUAAACUUCUUUUAUAAGGGAAUAAAGUGAGGGACGUGUCCCUUUUUGUAUGUACCUUAUGAAUAAGGAUCGGCUAACUCCGUGCCAGCCGCCGC
rnacentral:rRNA from 1 species